rnacentral:rRNA from 1 species
UACGUAGGGACCAAGCGUUGUUCGGAUUUACUGGGCGUAAAGGGCGCGUAGGCGGCAAAUUAAGUCAUCUGUGAAAUCUCCGAGCUUAACUCGGAACGGUCAGGUGAUACUGAUCUGCUAGAGUGCGGAAGGGGCAAUCGGAAUUCUUGGUGUAGCGGUGAAAUGCGUAGAUAUCAAGAGGAACAUCUGAGGUGAAGACGGGUUGCUGGGCCGACACUGACGCUGACAGCGCGAAAGCCAGGGGAGCAAACGGG